GUAUUGAUUGCGUAUCGCAAAGUGGGGUCAUUCUACACUUUUUAAAAGGGGUUUGUGUGAAAACGCAAGCCCCCUCCUGGAUCGAUUCGAUCCCGAAGGGCACCCACGCGGUGGUGCACAAAAGGGUGAGAUGGAUUUUAUGUGAGAGGACGCACUCCGGCGUGCACGACUUUUGUGUCUCAAAAAGUCAGCGACAGCCCUCGCGCCUCGGUUGUACGAUAAUGAUCCUUCCGCAGGUUCACCUACGGAAA
rnacentral:misc_RNA from 1 species